AAAAAGGCUCUUUUCAGAGCCACCCACACUUUCACUUAAAAGUGGU
rfam:Loxodonta africana unplaced genomic scaffold scaffold_44, whole genome shotgun sequence.